GCGGAUGUGGCGGAAUGGCAGACGCAGCAGACUCAAAAUCUGCCGGGGGCAACCUCGUGAGGGUUCGAGUCCCUCUAUCCGCA
rnacentral:tRNA from 2 species